GACGGCGCGGAAGUCACCCACUCACCUGUAAAGAGGAGACAAAAAACUCAUUAAAGAAAGAAGUGAUCUGUCGUCGUAUUCUUUUUGUGGUGUUGGCGGCUGUCAAUAAUGGUCGAGGUGCGGGUGACGUGUCCGCUAGUCACGGCCCACGGGAAAAUGGAUGUAAAUUACCCUGCACUUCUUGAUUCGCUUUGCCUCGACUCACCGCAGACUCGCGUUUAGUGAAGAUAUAAAGACUGAAGGCACGAAUUAGAACAGUCAGUAAGGGGAGAACAGGGCGAAGGCGUAGGUAUAAUUAUAAAGAAGCAAAAUCACUUCACGUAGUUACUUUUAUAGGGGGAGAUAUGAGGGCUGGAAUCAUCAGGUGGAGUGGUCAGUAAGGGCAAACGAAGCGGUUAUUUCUGAGGAACUAACGGUACUUUGAGGCUUCAGUGUACGUCUAAUGAAGCAAAGAUAAUCUCCCCCUCCCCGAGACUCGCUGGUGGGGGGACAUAUGAAGACCGGAGCCAUGAGAUCGAGUGUUCAGUGAGAGCAGACGAAAAGAUAUUCAGGACGAGCAAACGGUGUCUGGAGGCUUACGUAUUGUUCUAAUGAAGCAAAGAUAAUCAAGGCUCAUAAUGAACGCGAACUUUCUUUUGAGGAGAAAGUCCAAUAGACAUUUCCCGGUCACGAUCGGGUCGUCCGGCCAUCGAUGGUUGCUGUGUCGUCUCGAUGGCCGCUGACUGCCAAUGAAAUUGUGUGUGUCCGAUGCUCCGUUACAUGGCGGCUCAUAUCGGUAGCUCAUUUUCUACCCCGCCGGCAGUUUGAAAAGUUUCCUCGGUCUCUUGCCAUAAAAGAAAAGAAAAGAAAUGGAAUCCUUCAUCCCAGUAGCGCCACGUUUUCCUCCCUCAGCAGUACAUUCCUUGGUAUAGUGACGCAAGCUUUCUUUUCCUACGGUUUGUUAAAUACGAAUAUAAUGGGUGAUAUAAAUUUUCUAGUCUGCAUUUUUCUCUGCACCCAAAAUAUAAAUGUUAUGCAAAAUGCGGUGGACGAGUGGCCGGUGUACGGAAGUGAUGGACGUGGAGUGUCGGGUUUAAAUUCUUCCGGAGACAGACCUGUCGUGGAGGAUCUGAUGCCCAGCGUGUACCCAUUCACCCCUGCCUUGGUGCCGGGUCCUUGUGACUCUCAAGUGGUGCAGUGCUUCGUUUGUAGCUGUGGUUGUGAGCUCGAUGCUGGUUCACACAGUUUCUCGAUCGGAGAGGCAGCGCUUUUUUUCUUUUUUCCCUAACACUAAUCUGUGCUAUAUGACAUUGUUAUUAUAGUGCAGUACAUCAGCUUCAUCAAAACUGCAAGCUCCCAUAAAUAUUACAUGAAAAAGUAUGGCAAUUAAGGUUUCAUUGUCUCAGUGUUUCGUUCUCGCCGUUUCAUUGCUUCAGUGUUUGUGCUAUGACACGUUUAAUUCAAUUCAGGCUUCGAGGAUUCGCACCAUUUUCUGUACACUUGCUUAGAGCUCAGUCUUGUGUGUGUCACUCCACCGCCCGGUCACACCCGUUGUACUUUAGCGUUGCCCCCAUUAAAGCACCGCGGAUCUACAGUGUUUACCUGGGAAUCUCACGGACACGAUAUAUACAUGGCCGCUGCAGUACAGUGUGGGACUCAGCCUCAUUACGUCUCGUAGUUCCUGCCAUCGGCUCAAGAUCAAAGUGAUGCAUAUACUGCAUGCAAACUCGUAGUGUCAUCAGCUUACUCUUGUAAGUGAAUUAUUUCCGUUUUCCCGAGACAAGAAGAAGAAUGUUUGUGAUAAACGUAAUUGACAAGUCCCGUUUGCCGGAGCAGCGUGGCGGGGGUCAAGUGGCUCAGGCCUUGGGAGAGAAAGACACUGGACUGACUCAUCCACUAGAAAAAAAAAAAAAAGGAAAAUGGAAAAAAACUGGUAAAAUACGCGCAUUCAUUACCCCCUCCAUCUCCCCCUCCGCCACGCAGCAUCCCCUCCAAAGGAAAAUGCUUUUGACUUUGGUGUAGUGUAGUGGAGAUGCGGCGCCGAAGAGUUCAAGGGUGUGGUCCACAGCUGUGCACAACGACAGAAACGGAAGCGCAGAGGGAGACGCAGCUUGAGGGAAGUUCAAAUAAGUCCCAGGGUGGCGCGGGUCAUCGGUUCAUCGCCGCCCGGGAAUCAGAGGAGCAAGGCCGUUAGGUGUGAAUGACGCCUGCCCGCGGCGCCGCGACCCAGGAAGCAGAGACAGCAGUGUGGGGGCGGUUUUUCUUCUGUCACUAAACACUGCGUGGCUCAGAAAUCAUCACAAUAAAUAACAGUGAUGUCUCGCGGAGUCUUCCUCACUGUAAUCGUCAAGUAAUGAUUAUUGUAAUGAAAAAGUUUUUCUUACUUGUGAAAAGGUAAAAAGAAUUGAUACUAGAAUAGAAACUAGAAAAUAAUAAUUUAUUUCAAUUACUUUAUUCACGUGCUUCUUGUAAACUGUAAAUUAAUCAUAUGCUGUACAUAAGAUCGUGACACAUUGACGUCUGUUCUGCUUGUAAGCGAAAUUGGAAGCUGACAGAACGUGCGCAUUGUUCACUGUGCCCAGUUCCUCCUGCAUCAGCUGCCUCACCUCGCCGUAGUCUGUUAUUCCUUCGCCUGCCGUGGCAUGUUCGCCCUCACCAGGCUUCGAAACGUCCUUGGAGGCUUAGUGAACCAAGUCUUCUGUGUCAUUUCCCGCGUCGUAACUCAUACCUGCCGGCAGCUCUGUACAGCAAACCUUGUGUGAGCACUAUACUGAAGUAAAGAAACGUGCAACAGACAAUAGGCAGCGACACAUUCAUUGGAUAUGCUGUGAGACUUAGCGUUAAGAGUGGAGAGCGAGACGCCGUAUUAUAAGGAGGAGCAGGGCCAGGUGACGGGCCUCCGAUACCGAUACGAUGAUGAGGCGUAAUGAAGGUGACGUGGCAGCGACGGGCACGGCUUCCUCUCCAGGCGCCACGCUCACUGCCAUUAGCCGCUGUGUGCCUCCUCAAGAUGUCAAAAAAUAGAUAAUUAGAUAAAUAAAAUAAGAUUAUGAAUAAAUACAAAAUAAAAAAAGCUGGUUAAAUUUACCGAAGCUAUCCCUAAUUGAAUGGUACUUACUAGAUCGUAUUCUUGUAUCCAUUAAUAAUAUUAUUGCCGUUCUUGUUAUUCUUCAUGAUUCAGGAUUUUAUUUUUUUUUACAAGAUGACCUUUUCGUUUUUGUUAUUAAGCUGAUAGAUUAGUCCAGUUCUUUCUUUGUUUCUCCCC